GUCAGCCAGUUCAACCGGAAGAGCAUAACCGAAUACCGCUAUGAACCAUGGGUAAACUCACGAAGUCAGGAAUAAGGUGGAUAGGCCUGGAAUAUGAACUACAGCAUUUUCGGUCGUUUUCAGUGGAUCUGUGAGGACGCAAAUAUUCUUGAAACGAUGCCGAGGAGGAAGACGGAGGAAAAAAAGAUUGUUUUCACCCGUCUGGACGGCCCCUAACGUUAGCUGCGGUCGUAGAAGGAGGGGCUGCAGGAGCGAGAAGGGUCUGUCUGCAGCCUGCAAGAGAGGGGCGUAACGUGUAGUGGGCGUAACGUGUAGUAGGCGUAACGUGUAGUUGUGUAAAUCACGUUGAACCACGCGAGAUGUAGAAUGAGACCCGCCAAAAGCAAAAACAGAACAAGGAAAUGUACAAGAGAUGUCUCAAAAACGAAAAAUUGCGGAUCGUAUCCAGACAAUUUCAGACUAUCAUAACCGGGGAUCUUCUGUCAGCAUGGGAGCACGGGAAGGAGAGGCCCACCCUUUAUUUUGAGGAUGAACAACUUGACCAAGUUGUCUCCUUCCUGUUCUUGGUCAUAAGGGAAACGCCAAGGGCGAGACAGCUGACAGAUUGGGUUGCUUUCAUUUUUAUGUCCUUUUGCCAGAAGUAUGACAUGAUUGUUUUGUUUACAUACAUUUAUUAAUUUUGGCACUGUGCUUCAUAUUGUACAUACUGGUUUUUCAUAUCACAACUCACACUUGAUAGAUAAAUGAUAGAUGAAAAAACCUUGAAAUGGAACAAUACAGAUGUGUAAUAUUAAAACCUUCCUCCUUUUUUAAUGCUUGUGGGGUGCUUGACAAACUCAAAAUUGUUCAGAGCAUUCAGACCCCGUGUUGUAGAAUAUUCAUUUUUUUUUUACUUUUGUCAAAUCUUACAUAGCCUAUUGCACUCUAAGAUUGUCAUAAGGAUGUGAUAUCAAACUAGACAUAACAUUGUUAAAGGCUACAUUCAGUUGUGACUGUUUUUUAAUUAACAAAUUUCACCUUUCAUUUAAUGUUUGUUCUUUUUUUGACAGUGAAUUGGAAAUGAUGCAAGCUGACUUGAUGAAACAUUUAUCAGAGGAUGCAACAGAGAAGCUACAAGCCUAUAAAGAUAGAAUGCGAAGAGCCCUCUGAGGCAUUUCUUAGCCAGCUAUAAGAUGUAAUAUCUUCACAGAUUUACUUUUUUUUUUUCUUUUGACCCUCCAAUUAAAUGUGUCACGGCCCUACUGGGGCCUCUAACCAUUCUCCUCUGUGUAAUGCAAAACUGUAGCAAAUGGUGCAUUUGUUGGGGACUGUUUUCUGCGAUGGAGUAAUACACAUUUGGUGCACAAGUGAAUAUUUACAGCAGUAUGUGUGUGUGUGUUUGUGUGUGUUUGUGUGUAUGUGUUUGUGUGUUUUAGACUAGAGCAGUGCACACAUACAAACUGUAGAGUAUGUUUCAAAUGUGAGCAUGUGUGCAUACAUAAACUUAUCUUUUAUACAGGAUAUUGUAAUCAUUUUGUAUUGUAUAUGCAGUUGGUCUGUUUCAUUUCAUAGUUCCAUCAGCAUCAUUUGGCUCCAUAAAACUUGAGACAAAAAACUGAAAGGCAUUACAGUGUGCAUCACAGCCUGAGUUGGAUGUAAAGAAAAAAAGAGCUAAUCCUUGCCUUUGAACAGCCAUGUUAUUAACUGCUUUAUAAGUGUCCAGUGUCCUUGUUAAGGUCAAAUCACACAACGCUUAACAAGUAUUUCCUAACAGGAGAAGCAUUGAUAUUAACACAAGUCCAAGCACUACCAUGUUCGCAAGCAGAUGUUUGUCAGCAGACCAUGUUCUCUCUGUCAUGGCAGUCAAAGAACUAAUAAAAAGCUGAUUUAUAAACAUUGAAAUCACUUGUGCAUUGUGUGUGUGUCCAAGCCUGUGUGUGCGUGCCUGCAAUCACGAGCGUGAGCUUGUGUCUAGGAUGGGGGGCCCAAAAAGAAUAUUUGCACCAGGUUCUAUCACCAUGAUGUUAGGCUGCUACGGCAGACAAUGUAAAUAAUGUUGCUUCAGAAAGUCGGAGUGUGGCCGAAGUGAAAAAAAGUGGUCAGACAUAAAAGUAGAAGCAAAAAAGCGCCUGUCAUCACACAGGCAGAGCGUCUGUGUCACGGGCGGGGGAGCGGCCACCGGAGCUCACCCCGCUGGAUGAAAAACUGGUGGGGAUCAUUGGGGAAUCCCACCUGAGUGGAGCUGUGACGGAGGUGGAGGGGGACACCGAUGCCCCUCGUGUCAUCCAGCGGCUAUGUCCUUACAGAUGCAGUACAGCAAAUGCAGAGAAACACCAUCACUACAAUAAAUGAUGUUGCCAGGGAACUGCGGGAGAUAAAAAAUGUCCUUUCCGAGUUAAACACCACCAUGAAGGAAUUUAUUAAAUGAUUGUUUCGUGUUUGUUUCCAUAUCUGUAUUUUCACAAGCGACGCAUCACAUCCAAACGCUGGUGCACGGCCAGCGUGUGAUGCACAGUAUUAUUUUAUUAACUUAUUUUAAUGUCUUAUUUUGUCUUUAACAUGUCCGAAUAAACAAAUAAAUUAAAAAAAUAAAUAAAGACAGGUCGGGGUCGGGGCCAAGACAAUCAGCGUCGGGGGGCAAGGCCACAUCCUUCGGCUGUGCCACGUUAUGUGGCACAGCACACCCUCUCACAAUAGUGCAGACCUAUUCGGACUCAUAGGACAAGGCCAAGAAGAAUGGCUACAAAAAGUCAUUCAUACCAUCAGUUGCCCUCUGCAAUAAGGAACUGUUCAAAUAAAUGCACACACACAUGCUUAACACAUACGAUUUUAAUUCACACGUUGUUUUUAACACAGGAAUGUUUAGCUAUCUUACUCACAUCCACACAAGCAAUGACAUUGAUAUAUUUAUUUAUUGAAUCCAUUUACUCAUGAAUUCUGGUCUCUGAGAGUGUCUUAAGUUUGGUGUUUCCAUCUCAUCAUAAUAUCCUGCCUUUUUACUCGUUUACCACUAAAACAAAUAAACAAUAGAAAGAAUACAUCUAUUAUAGGGCAAAGAUUGCGUAUACAUUGACGUUUGUGCCGCUGGACCGUGGUCAAACUGUAGUAGUACCUAUUUAGGAUCAUAUCCCUUUAAGAACCGUGCAUAGUGGGCGUAACCUGUAGCAGUGACGUAACUACACGUUACGCCCACUUCAGGUUACGCCCCUCUCUUGCAGGCUGCAGACGGAUACAGUUGGGAAGGAGCGGCAGCAGGAGCAACUAGCUAGCAAACGUUAGCUGGAGGAAACACGGUGGUAAUGGAAGGAGUUCUUCAGUGACGUGCUCUGAAGAAUUUCUCCGGGGCUGCGUUGCGUUCGUAAUUAUUGGUUCCGCCCAUACAGUCUAUGUUUCCGCCGCUCUUUAUUUACAUUAUUUGAUCAAAAUAAUAGUGGUUGACACAUGAAACUUUUGACGAGAAAUGCGAUACGGAGAAGUUACAUACAGCACAAAAUUUAAGACCCAGAUAUCAAAAUUCAAGACUUUUUCAAGUCUUUUUAAGGUAUUAUUUCCAAAUUCAUAAAUUCAAUGCUUUUAAGACUUUUUAAGACCCCGCGGGAACCCUGUUACUGUUCACCUUUGAUGUUUUACUCUGCCUC
ensembl:lncRNA